AUGUGGAGAUUCUUCAAGCGGCGACGCGUUCAUGGGCCGGCCCAUAAGAGCGAGCGCUUCUACAGAAGCAGCCUACCACGGACACACUCCAGAAAACAGCGCCUCCAUUCCCCACCCCUCCCUCCCCCAAACCAAAUCCCUCGCCGUCGGCCGCCUCCCCCUCCACCGGCGGCCAUGGGCGACCCUCAGUUUACCAUCGGCACCUCCAUGAGCGAUAUACUCGCCACCAUGGAGCGCGACGGCCACGACCCUGCGACGAUCUCCCUCGGCAUAAACGCGAUGCUCUGCUUCGUGUACGACUACCUGCCGGAGCCGCCCGUCUCCCUCACCGCCUCCCUCUCACUCGCCGGCGCGUCGUGGGUCCCCGACGGCGUCGACCGCAUCAGCCGCCUCCCCGAUGUGCUCCUCCGCGACAUCAUCUCUCGCCUCUCCGCCAAGGACGCCGCGCGCACCGCCGCCCUCUCCUCGCGCUGGCGCCCGCUCUGGCGCUCGGCGCCCCUGGCUCUUUUCGACAUCAAUCUCUUUCCGGGCGGCGACGCGUCUCCCUCUCCCUGCGCAGUCACCGCCGCGGUGUCCGGCGCCCUCGCGGCGCACCCGGGCCCUUUCCGCUGCGUCCACCUCAUCUGCAGCACCAUGGACAAGCACCGAGGUGAAAUGGCGCGCUGGAUCGACAUCCUCGUCGCCAAGGGGGUCCAAGAACUCGUCUUUGUCAACCGCCCUUGGCCGAUAGACCUGCGCCUCCCCGCCACGAUCUUGAGCUGCGCCUCCCUCACCCGCCUCUACCUCGGCAUUUGGAGGCUCCCGGACACCGCCGCCGUGCCGCGCGGUGUCAGCUUCCCCAACUUCCGUGAGCUCGGCCUCUGCUGGAAUGUCAUGGAGGACCGUGACCUCGCCUUCAUGCUUGAAAGAAGCCCCGUCCUGGAGUUCCUCGGCAUAAUGGGGAGCCAGACCGGAGUGCGCGUCCGCCUCGUCAGCCACAGCCUGCGCUGCGUCCAGCUGGGCUUUUCUUUCAUGGAGGACAUCGACGUGGUGGAUGCCCCUCGCCUGGAGAGGCUCUUCCAAUGGGAAACUGUUUCCGCGGUCAAUAGCCGGGCCAUGGCGAACCGCUCUUUCAGAAUCAAGAUUGGCCAUGCACCUAACCUGCGUGUGCUGGGAUACCUUCAGCCUGGAGAGCAAGAGCUGGUCGUCGUGGCUGGGAGCAAGGAGAACAUUGUCCCUAGUGUCCAGAUUUUGGCCAUGGAGGUGCAGUUCGGUGCCCGCAAUGCUGUGAAGAAAGUGCCCGGCUUUCUCCGCUGUUUCCCCAACCUGGAGACUCUCCAUGUCCAGUCCCCCCGCAUACUUGAGGAGUCCAUCGGCAAGGUCAAUCUCAAGUUCUGGCAGGAGGGCGGCCCCAUCGAAUGCGUCCUGCGGAGCAUGAAGAAGUUGUUCUUCUACGAGUUCCGAGGGUCGAGAAGGGAGCUUUCCUCAAGUUUAUCACGGAGAGAGGUCGGGUGCUGGAGCAGAUGGUGGUUGUGGUGGCCAGUCAGUAUUUCUCCUCAGGGGACAAUGUCAAUGCCAAGCUGA
rnacentral:rRNA from 1 species